GCACUUCUCAUGCCUCAGCCUCCCAAGUAGCUGGAACUACAGUGCCAUGGUGAGCAUACUUGUGCACACAUGUGAGGAGGAUCUAUUUCUAGAAGAACUGCUGGGUCAAAGGCUCUGUACAUUUACAAUUGACUGAUUCUGUUAAAUCAUCUUCUAAAAAAGCUUCACUGCAUUAUAUUCCCACCAAGAAUGUACAAGAAUAUGGCCUGUUUUUCUAUAUGUGAAAUAAAGGGAUUGGAUUGUU
rnacentral:lncRNA from 1 species